UAGAAACCAAGGGGUGUUUGGGGCGUUUUUCUGGGGAGGCGUUCACGAGGCGGGUGGUAGAGAGGAAAGAGUACCGCCGUGUGCUCCGGAGACGGCCGCCGCCGCUCCCGCGCGCGACGUGAGGAGGCGCGGGGCGCGAGAGCGAUGGGGGCGCGAGGCGGCAGCUUAGGAAGAAGCCGAGACCGCGGUGGCGGCGCAGGAAACGGCUCUGGUCGGGGCCGGGCAAGUGGGAGCGGCGGCGCGAGAAGGGCCUGUACGGGAGGAGCCGGAAGGUGCCGAGGAAGUGGGUCGAGGAACAGCCGCGGUACCCGAGGGGUCGGCGUGGGGGAAGGGGAGGGAGUGGCAAGCGGCACGGUGGCCCCGAGUCGGGGUGGCGAGAGCAGCCGGGGAAGGGGGGAUGCCCCUUAAAACUUUACAGGGUAGUCGUUCGCAAUCGGGUUCAUUGUCGUGUUCGUCAGGUAAGAGUCAUAUGACAUCCGUCAGUUCGUCUAAUGAGUGAGGGAAAGAGUAGCCGUUGUUGUAGUCGAAACUGUAGUGUCAAGUAGUUGAGAAGACGUUUACACUGUAGUUACUUCCUCUGUCGUUGAGACGGUGACGUAUGUCAAUUACUAUUGGAAUUCAGUUUACUCCAAAGUGUUCCUAAGGUUUGAAGCCGGGAGUGGCACCUAUUUGGACGACUACUACCCAUGUUAACCGCUUUCAUACCGGUCUUCCGUCAAUUCCCACCUCUCAUAGGUUCCUCGAUGAUAUUUACGUGGGUCCGCUCGACAGGUCAAUUCUUCUUUCACCUCGUGAGUCGUAUACCUGUCUAAUGAGUUUAUUAAAUAUCUCCGGUUGUAUUGGUGGUCGCAGGUGGUUUUUCCUCCAGGUUUCUACCACCGUUAAAUGAUUUACUUCUACUAAAGGGACUCUUGUCUCUGUGAAACUGAGCUAGUCUUGGUCCGAGAGUUCUAGUAAGACCUUUUCAACUCCAUAGUUUACUACCGUAGUGUCCCAGAAGUUAAAGAUUCUCCUCUCUGCCUCCACUAGUUAGCAGACCGAGUUCACUAGCUCUCCUCCUGUUACUACUUCGUCCACUACUGUUACCUCUACGGCCAUAACACUUACGUUUGUUUUCCGUACACGGCCGCGGUCGAGUUUCUUAGUAGCACGUUUGUUGGUCACUUUAACUAGAAAACCUACUACCGAUGGCCACCGCGUUCAUGCCCGUCUUUCACCAUUUUCCCUUAGGAGUAGGUUCCUCAAUGAUGUUUACGUGCAUGGUCCCUACGCUACAUUUCUUCGUAUAGCUUUCUACAAGCGUUCUGGGUUGCCGCCACUAUUGAUGUAUACUUCCGUUCGUAUCGGUACUACACGGUCGUCGAUCCUCGUCGCACCGACGACGACGGUCACGGUUACGUAGGAGAAGGUAAUCGAAUGAUGUAUCUCCCGUCUUCCGUCGUAGAUCAUCGGUUGCCCACAACGGGUCUCGUCGUGAUGUAUGUAGUCUAAGAAGGAACGUCGAUUUUCUUCUUUUGCUCUAUUGUAUUUGAAAACCUCAUGAAUCACUCCAUUUAAUAAGGUUAUAUAAUCGGGUAAAGACCAAUACGACGACGUAACCAAGUUUGGCUCUCCUAUAAGAAGGUCUCGGAACGAACGUGUCUCGGACACAACGUCGUGACGUAGAACGUACGACAUGAGGGUAACCAAGAUUUAACAUGACCAGAGAUAAGGUACCUUUUUGACAUCCACUGCCUCCAAAGCAACAACGUUCACAUAUACGAGCUCAACAUCGAGAAUGGACUAUAGGAGUAAACAUGUAUAUAGAGGCAUUCACAGUAGACUGUCCUACAUAAUUUCAGAAUUAACUACUUGUUCCAUUACCGGAAGGCAGUUAGAAGGAAAGUCAAACAGCAGCGUCGCCUUACACGGAGCCACCUGGACUCCGUUUUCUUUCUUAGUUUAACCAGACUACGAACACAGAGCAUUUUCGUCUUAUAAGAAACUUACACUCUACUACAAGAACAAUUAUCGUUCCACGAACAACGCAGAAACAGAAACAGUUAGAAUUCUAGGCACCUGAAUUCGGAAGGCAUAUACGAGUAUGCCUAUCUUACACAUGCAAAUACAAGUAUGUUCACUUAAAUACCCAUACACUAGCUGACUCAAACAUGAGACUAAGAAUUUUCUUUAGGGACAUUAAAUAGUGACUUUAUACAGCCC
rnacentral:rRNA from 1 species